rnacentral:rRNA from 1 species
CCCAUUAGCUAGUUGGCGAGAUAAUAGCUCACCAAGGCAAGGUGGGUAGCCGAGUUGAGAGUUUGAUCGCCCACACUGAAACUGAGAUACGGUCCAGACACCUACGGGUGGCAGCAGUAGGGAAUAUUGCGCAAGGAGCGAAAGCUUGACGCAGCCAUGCCGCGUGAGUGAAGAAGGCUUUGGGGUCGUAAAGCUCUUUUCUGAGGGAAGAAUGGUCGAUGCAGAAAAAGGCAUCGAAUUGACGGUACCUCAGGAAUAAGGAACGGCUAACUCCGUGCCAGCAGCCGCGGUAAUACGGAGGUUCCAAGCGUUGUUCGGAAUUACUGGGCGUAAAGGGAGCGCAGGUGGGCGGUCCAGUCCAAAGUGGAAGCCCGGGGCUUAACCCCGGAAGUGCUUUGGAUACUAGCCGUCUUGAGUACGCGAGAGGAAGGCGGAAUUCAGGGUGUAGCGGUGAAAUGCAUAGAUAUCCUGAGGAACACCGGUGGCGAAAGCGGCCUUCUGGCGCGAAACUGACACUGAGGCUCGAAAGCGUGGGGAGCAAACGGGAUUAGAUACCCCGGUAGUCCACGCCGUAAACGUUCUGCACUAGGUGUGGGAGGUAUCGACCCCUUCCGUGCCGCAGCUAACGCAUUAA